rnacentral:rRNA from 1 species
CAAACCAACAAGCUUGCUUGUUGGGGUUGUAGGACACUCUAUACGGAGUUACAAAGGACGACAUUAGACGAAUCAUCUGGAAAGAUGAAUCAAAGAAGGUAAUAAUCCUGUAGUCGAAAAUGUUGUCUCUCUUGAGUGGAUCCUGAGUACGACGGAGCACGUGAAAUUCCGUCGGAAUCUGGGAGGACCAUCUCCUAAGGCUAAAUACUCUCUAGUGACCGAUAGUGAACCAGUACCGUGAGGGAAAGGUGAAAAGCACCCCGGAAGGGGAGUGAAAUAGAACCUGAAACCGUGUGCUUACAAGUAGUCAGAGCCCGUUAAUGGGUGAUGGCGUGCCUUUUGUAGAAUGAACCGGCGAGUUACGAUUUGAUGCAAGGUUAAGCAGUAAAUGUGGAGCCGUAGCGAAAGCGAGUCUGAAUAGGGCGUUUAGUAUUUGGUCGUAGACCCGAAACCAGGUGAUCUACCCUUGGUCA